ACUUAGUGGCGGACGGGUGAGUAACACGUGAGUAACCUGCCUUUCAGAGUGGAAUAACGUUUGGAAACGAACGCUAAUACCGCAUAACGUGAGGGGAUGGCAUCAUUCCCUUACCAAAGAUUUAUCGCUGAAAGAUGGGCUCGCGGCCGAUUAGGUAGUUGGUGAGAUAAUAGCCCACCAAGCCGACGAUCGGUAGCCGGACUGAGAGGUUGAACGGCCACAUUGGGACUGAGACACGGUCCAGACUCC
rnacentral:rRNA from 1 species